CGGGAACUCCUCCUGCGCCAGGGACACAGGGAUCAAGGAGAGAACAGAGUGCAACCCCAUCCCUGCCUGAUCAGUGGGGGUGCCCGUCUUCCCUGCGACGGUUUUGGGGUGGAACAGGAGUGGCUCCUCAGGGGGAAAUGAAAGGAACUGAGGAGCUCCAGUCGUGAGAAGGCCAAUGAAGCAGGCACCGCCAGUUGGGAAAUGGACCUCCUUGGAUGCUGCAUUGUUUUCUCUGGCCCAGCUCCUGCUUGGGGCCUGAUGUACACCCUGGAUGGUGGCUACAGGUGGGGCACCCUGUGCUGCUCUGCAUCUCCAUCCAGUCCCCCAUCUCCACCCAAAACAGCUCAGUUCCCCAGAGAAGCUCCCUGGAAACCGGGAGGCUGACUUCUUCACCAACUGCAGAACCACCUGAGGCCACCUGGCAGAAUGCGAUCCAGGACUGCACGUGGCAUUCCGCUGCCGUGUCUCAGUGGGAUCCUUCCAUCCAGAACGGCUCCUCCGUCUUUCUCCUCCUCUCAUAAUUUUGACAGUUUUAAAGCAUCCAGGCUAUUUUUGUCUUUCAUAACCUUGACACUCUUGAAGAGUACUGGCCAAUUAUUUUGUAGAAUGUCCUCCAACUUGAGUUUGUCUAGUGCUUUCUCACAAUGAGAAUGAGGUUUUGUGUUUUUGGUGAGAACACCACAGAAGCAGGUUAUACCCUUCCCCAUGCAUUAUAUCAGGAGGCACAUGUGAUAUUGCUGCAUCCCAUUACUGGAGACGUUAACUUUGAGAGAUGAUGUAGCAAAGAUUUCUCCAUUGUAAAAUCCUAUUUUUCCUUCUGAACUUAAUGAGUAUCUUACAAGGAGCUGUCUUGGAGACUAUGUAAAUAUCUUGUUUAUCAUCAUACUUUCACCAACCAAUUUUGGCAUUCAUUGGUGAUUCUUGUCUGCAAUAUUAAUUACCACUGUGUUUUCCAACAGAUGAUUUUUCUACUUUCAUAAUUCCUUCUCCAUUUAUUAAUUGUAAUUCAGUGGUAAGGAAGAGCUGUCCCUUCUCUCCCAAUUACUUAUGCAAUUAUUUCAGUAUAGACUCAUGGAUAUUUAGUUUAUUCUACCAGUGAUAAUCCAUGACCAACAUCAUUUGUAUCAUUGUUCCAACUGUCCCAGGUAUGGCCAAUGUAAGCAUCUUCAAGUCACCCCUUGUGUUUGUUUGAAAUGCCCUUAUUCUAUUUUGAGCACUUCCUUUCUGACAUAAGAUGUUCCAGGAUUAUUUUAUAAUUUCACUGACCCCACCCUGUACUUAAUCAUUUCUCCAAAGAACUCUGCUUCCUUUAUUGAGGGAAUGUAUUUAGAAUCUAAGAUCUGGGUGCUGGAUGUCCUCAUUGUUACUGAGGUGUCACUGUGUCUAGGGCCUCUCAGCAGACAGAGCUAGGGAAUAUGGGUUACCAACUCUGAAACUAUUUUAUGGGUAUUCUGAGAUUGAGCAAAUAAGUAAAUACAUUGUAUUUAGUGGGAGGGAGGCAUCUCACUGUCAAAGAGAGAACUACAAAUAAAAAGGGAAGGGCAAAGUGAACCCUAUUGUGUUAGAUUAGAAUCAGAGGCAUCAGCAUGAGCUCCUGAUUUUUAGUGUAUGUACAGAUUGACAGAUAUAGAAAUAAAUAUGACCUGGCAAUUCCAUUCCUAGGCAUAUACCUAGCAGAAAUCCAUGGUCAUAAAAAAAAACAUGGACAAGAAUGAUCAUGCUGGGAGUGGUGGCUCACGCCUGUAAUCCCAACACUUUGGGAGGCUGAGGCAAGCAGAUUGCUUGAGUCCAGGAGUUUGAGACCAGCCUGGGCAACAUGGCGAAACCCUGUCUCCACUAAAAAUACAAAAAUUAGCUGGGUGUGGUGGUGCAUGCCUGUAGUUCCAGCUACUUGAGAGGCUGAGGUAGGAGGAUGGCUUGAGCCUGGGAGUCAGAGACUGAAGGGAGCCAAGAUUGUACCACUGCACUCCAACCUGGGGAACAGAGUGAGACCCUGAAGAAAGAAAGAGAGAAAGAGAGAAAGAGAAAAGAAAGAAGAAAGAAAGGAAGAAAGAAAGAAAGAAAGAAAGAGAAAGAAAGAAAAAAAGAGAGAAAGAGGAAGAAAAAAAAAGAAUGAUCAUAGGAUCAUAGCUGCACUAUUAUCAUAGUCCUAAGCUGUAAACCACGCAAAUUCCCGUUGACACCAGACUAAAGAAUGAAUGACCGACCACUACAUGCAACAUUAUGGAUGAAAAUACAAUUGCGGAAAGACAUUUUCUCAAAAAAUGCUGUGUGAUACCAUUUAUAUAAAGCACAAACCAGGCAAAUUAAUCCAUGUCACAAGAACUCAGUAUCAAUUUUCUGCAAGAGAAACGAGGGGGUUUCUGAGCUGCUGGUAGUGUUCUGUCAUUUGGUCUGGGUGCUGGUUGCAUUGGUGUGUCUAAUUCUUAAAAUGUAUAUACAUUAUUCAUCAGUAAAAAGUUUUUUAAAAUAUUCAUCUCCUGGCUCUAAGCUUCAUUUUAUCUUCAUUUCAACUCAGCUGCUGCAGGGACCCCAUAAAAUGAAUAGAGUAGGACUAACUUCUAAACCUGCUCUGCUUCUAUUCCCUUCCAGACUAGGAUUGAUAUUUUCCCUCCAGGAUUGAGACUCCUGUUAAAUUUUCUUUUAUUUCCCCUUCUUUUCUUUCUUUCUUUUCUUUCUUUCUUUCUUUUUUUCUUUUUCUUUUUUUUUUUUUUUUGACGGAGUCUCACUCUGUUGCCCAGGCUGGAGUGUAAUGGUGAUCUCGGCUCACUGCAGCCUUCAUCUCCUGGGUUCAAGCGAUUCUCCUGCUUCACCCUCCCAAGUAGUUGGGACCACAGGUGUGUGCCACCAUGCUCAGCUAAUUUUUGUAUUUUUAGUAGAGACGGGGGUUUCACCAUGUUGGCCAGGCUGGUCUCGAACUCCUGACCUAAAAUGAUCUACCCGCCCUGGUCUCCCAAAGUGCUCAUGAUUAAAGGCAUGAGCCACCGUGCCUGGCUUCCCCCUUUUCACAAGUUCGAUUUUUUUCUUUUUCCUGUUCUUUUUGUUUUGUUUCGUUUUUCUUUUCUUUUCUUUUUUCUUCUUUCUUUCUUUUUCUUUUUUCCUUCUUUCUUUCUUUCUUUUUUUUUUUUUCAGGCCUAGGACUCUUGAUCCAGUCCCACCUGCUGGUGUAGGUCAGGAAGAGAUUAUUUUAGCCCCACCCAACUAGGAAGCUGCGUAGAUGUAGGGGAGGAAAGCAACUUGCCAGGGGCUACCCUAGGUAGGAGAUGUGGCUAUAUUCCAGAGUUGUUGAAGGUUAAUACCAGCUAAUGUUCUUUCAGUUACUGCCUUCCAGGUAUUCACAACAAGGAUUAAGGAAGAGAAUUAAACUCUAAUGCAAUAGGCUUCCAUCAUUUGUAAUGAAUUAACUUCCAUUGUCCUCAUUGUUAAAAGAUACAUUUAUUAAAAUGGAUAAAAAUCAUCAGCCUGGAGUGGCUGCUCAUGACUAUAAUAGCAGCAUUUUGGGAGACUGAGGUGGGAAGAUCGCUUAAGGCCAGGGGUUCAAGACCAGCUUGGGCAAUAUAGUGCAACCCCCCUCUACAAAAUAAUAAUAAUAAUAAUAACAAUUAGCCAGGCAUGGUGGCUCAAGUGUGUAGUUCUAGCUACUCAGGAGGCUGAGUCAGAGAACCACUUGAGCCCAGGAGGUCAAGGCUGCAGUGAGCCAAGCUUGCAUCACUGCACUCAAGCCUGGGUAAUAGAGCAAGACCCUGUCUCAAAAAAAAUAAAUAAAUAAAAUAAAAUCAUGACUCUCAAACAGCAGAUUAUAACUGACUCAAAGGAGAAGUCAAAAAAGCUACAUUUGUAUGGAGCAAAGGAAUGUUGAAACAAACGCACCAACAGAGCUCAAGCCAGCUUCUUCCAGGGUGGCAAAGGGAAUUCCACUGAACCUCUACUGGCAG
rnacentral:lncRNA from 1 species